rnacentral:rRNA from 1 species
GACGAACGCUGGCGGCGUGCUUAACACAUGCAAGUCGAACGGAAAGGCCCUGCUUUUGUGGGGUGCUCGAGUGGCGCACGGGUGAGUAACACGUGAGUAACCUGCCCUUGACUUUGGGAUAACUUCAGGAAACUGGGGCUAAUACCGGAUAGGAGCUCCUGCUGCAUGGUGGGGGUUGGAAAGUUUCGGCGGUUGGGGAUGGACUCGCGGCUUAUCAGCUUGUUGGUGGGGUAGUGGCUUACCAGGGCUUUGACGGGUAGCCGGCCUGAGAGGGUGACCGGCCACAUUGGGACUGAGAUACGGCCCAGACUCCAACGGGAGGCAGCAGUGGGGAAUAUUGCACAAUGGGCGGAAGCGUGAUGCAGCAAUGCCGCGUGCGGGAUGACGGUCUUCGGGUGGUAAACCGCUUUCGCCUGUGACGAAGCGUGAGUGACGGUAAUGGGUAAAGAAGCACCGGCUAACUACGUG